rnacentral:rRNA from 1 species
UACGUAGGGUGCAAGCGUUGUCCGGAUUCAUUGGGCGUAAAGAGCUCGUAGGCGGUCUGUCGCGUCGGCUGUGAAAACCCGAGGCUCAACCUCGGGCCUGCAGUCGAUACGGGCAAACUAGAGUACUGCAGGGGAGACUGGAAUUCCUGGUGUAGCGGUGGAAAUGCGCAGAUAUCAGGAGGAACACCGGUGGCGAAGGCGGGUCUCUGGGCAGUAACUGAC